AGCCCGCCGGCCGGGGAAGCCGGGCUGAGGGGCGGGGUGGCAGGGUUCGGCGACCCUGGAGCUGAGGGGGCGACCAGUAUGGCGGGUACGGUCGGGCGCGGCCUGGUUGCGGAAGGGGUGGGUCGCGGCGGCCGGAGGCACUGGGUCCCCAGCGCGGGGGUACUUGGCAGCCCUGCGGGGGCCCUCGGAGUGGCCGGGGGACCCGGGUCUCCGAGAGGACAUGCUGAGGCGCCAGGUUACCAGUGGUUGAGUGACAGUGGCGCGACGCCGCGGUACCUUCGGGUGUCACAGGUCUGUCCCCCGUGCACGAGGCCGGGCCGCCGUCGGGGUGCUGCAGCGUGUGUGAUGCGGGUCGAGAGCUGCCGGGCUCAGCGCAUCCUUAACCUUCCGUGGUCCUCGGGCGGACCGCAGUGGGGUAGAGGGACCCGGGCCAGGGUGCACCGCGGGAGGGGGUCGUGCCCACGGCACUGUCGCGAUGGGAGGGGGCGUGGACAGGACCCUACCCUUCAGGGUGUAAUGUUGAGCCUGUCGGGCGGGGGAGGGUUUUUGCCUCUUGGUUUCUGGAAGGCUGGUUGGAAAGGAAGGACUGUUGGGCAUCCGGUAAAGACAGAUUGGAAUCCGAGAGUGAGUGGAGACCCGGCCUCAUGCUGCCCGAGUUCGGGUGCCACGGGCCGUAGUCCCCUCCCAGGCCUGUGGGGCUCAGCUUUAGGUUAGUGCCAAGAGAGGUAUUUGGACCUGUCGGAGGUCACCUGGCUGCUCGGGGCUGGAGACAGACGUUUUUCCGCGUGCGCAGGUCGGGAGAGCUAAGUUUUAUCUAGGCUGUGGCACCCCUGAUUCCAGUAGUCAGAACUCUUGUCAGACAGGAGUGCUUCCCAUUUAAAGCAAAGUAAGAGUAGCCUGUCCCACGGGAAGUAGCUUAGCAACAUCACCUCUGCUCUCUCCUUCCCACGUAAGGGUGGGCCUGUGGUCGGAAGGGUUAAAUGGGCAUGAUGUGGGUGCUGCCCCCUUAUAACCAAGAGCAGGAAGGAUGAGGACUUUAUAUUUUUAAAUAUCUUAUGUUUUAUAUAGACAUUUAAAUAUAAGUACCUGUAUCACAAGGGCUCCUUUAUGAAACAUGGCUGUAGACUUUGACCACAACAUCGGCUUUCUGUCGCUUGCUGCUUACAAGGCAAGUGGCCUGCUGAACCACUCAGAACCACAUCCUCUGUGUGAUGUUCUCAUUUGAGAUCGGCUGUAAGCUGCUUGCAUUUUUUUUUUUUUCCCAUGCCCACUGCUCUUAGAAUUGGCUCUGAUUUUUUUCCUUACCUAGAAAGCGUCAGGUCUUAGAGCUGAGGUAUUGACCGCCGUUGCAGUGCCUGACUCGUUUGGCAAUGGCCUUGCUGGCUGUCACCUGGGCGGGGUGGUGGCUGUGUGGUCCUGCUGGGUGUAGAGGUUCGUGUUGACAUCAUCCACGAGCAUCCCCCUUUCUGUGGCAACAACUGUCCUCUCCCCAGGCAGCUCCUAAAUUCACUUGUCUACCCCCCGUCAGAUUGGUGCCCACUGUGUGUCGGGAGCUGAGAGAGGUGGCUGGGUGUGAGCACUGCUGAGGGCCCUCUCUGAGCAGGGGGCGUGCAGGGAGAGGCCGCGCGCGAGGAGCGAGCCGCUGGAGGGCUGGGGGCGGCGUUCAGGGCCUUCCUCACCGGCCCUGCCCUCCUGGCCCUCUGCUGUUAGAAUCUCCAUGGAGCUCAAGGUCUUCCAGCUAAAUGUCCUCCUGUCUUAAACUGUCUUCUGUCCCACUGCUCAGCUCCCUCCGGGAGCCCUCCGUGCCCUGGCUCGCCAUGGCCUCCAGCUGCCCUUCCUGUCCCCUGUCCGACCCCCAGAUGUCUCCUUUGGGUUGGCCUCUGCCGCUCCUACUAGCCUGUGCGGGCAGGUGGGCGGCCCACGUCAGCUGAGUGGUUGACCGCAGACAUCAGGUGGUGGCAGAGCGAGCAGGCGCGUAGCGAAGUGGCUCCAAGUGUGGCCACCAGCGGGAGGCCUCUCGAGGGCCCGUGGAGGGACCCAGUGGGCGAGGGUGCCGCUCCCCGGGACCCGCUCCACAGACUCCCUGCCCCCGCCGUGCAUGUUCACACUGUCUGCUGCCUUCCUCUGUCCUCCGGGUUCAGCGUCCCGAGCAGGUGCCUCUGACUUGCCAGGCCACGCUCAGGCCUGCGCCUGCCGACCAGGGGGUGAGCACAGAGCAUGUCUGACCUUUGAUUCCGUAAUGGGGGGUGGCGUUCUCCAGUGGAUCCUGCCGGUGUCCACUACGCAGUCAGACGUCGGUAACUGAAAUUGUCCUUCACUGUUUUGAGCACGGCUGUCCAAGAGAACUUUCUGUGGUGAUAGAAAUGUCCCUCCCACGGUCUGUGCUGUCCUUUUAAAAUGGUGGCCGCGAGCCACAUGUGGCUGGUGAGACAGGAAGGGGGCCCUUCAUCGUCGUUAAUUCGGAUCUGAGCUGCCACACGUGGCUCUUGGAUGCUGUGGCCUGGAGAAGACUUGUUCCCACUUUAGCCUGGCUCCCAGGCCCUGCUGUGUCACACGUGUCACGUCGGCUGGGCGGUCACUGUCCCGCCUCUGUUCCUCCACUACCUGCUGGAGCCUAGUGGACAGACGCCCCACCUUUAAGGUUUCCCCGCAGAGGGCAGUGCGCCUGCGUCCCCGCCACGCCCUCCCCGCCCUCUGCUGCCCUCCUCCGGGGCGAUUCUGCUCACGUGGUCUCCGGCGUGAUACUGGACUUCGCCUCACUGCCUGUCCUCCGCCUCACUGCCUGUCCUCCUUUGUCAUCUUGACCAGCUCUUCCUCCCUCCCACGCCUGAGCUCUGGGGCCCAGGUCCCCCAGCGCUGGCUGCCCCACUCCCAUCUCCCGUGGCCUGUCAUCGUCAUCUCCACCGGAGGCUUAGUAGGCGCUGCUCUCGGCCGUCUUCUGCCACCCGCACGUCCCCCGCUUCCUUCUUUGUUCUCUGCAGUCCGCCCGUGAGCAGCGUCUGCAUAUCUCUUUGGGACACACUCACGCUCUGACGGUCCUCAGCGCCUUCCCCCGCCCACCCUGGCCCAGGCCAGCUCGCUUCCCUGCGUCCGCCCUGGCUCCUGCACAGUGGCCAGGACGACCUUUUAAAAUAACAUUCUAAUUUAUUGUGUUUCUCAUCAGAACCCACCAAAGGUUCUCUGAUGUUUGAAGAAAAGUUCAGGGUCUUACCAUGGCCUAGAAGGGUCCCUAAAAUCCACCUCUUGCUUGUCUUCUGCCCUCACCCCCCGGCUCUGCAGACAUUCAGGCCCCGUCACGGCCCCUCCUCAGCCCCCGUGGUGCCCUCUGUUCCUUCCGCUGUCACCUGGGAGUCCUUUUGUCCGAAACUACAUCCCCCCUCCUCUAGUGUUUUUCUGUCCUGGGCCCCUGUCCUUGUCUCCCUAAUGCGGUCACCGCACUAGGGGAAGCGGUGUGCCGUGUGUCCCUGCCCUCCUGGAAGGUAAGCUCCGUGAGGCAGCAUCACAUCACCUGAAACAUCGCCCGGCACACGGGAGCCGCUCCACUGCUGUCCAUGGAACAGAUGCCCCCAGGGCGGCGGCGUGUGUGUGUGUCUGUGUGUCCGUCCCCAUCUGCCCACCUCGUGGCCCUCCCGGCACAGUCCUGACUGAAGGGUUUCUGUGUGAUCCGCAUUAAGUUUCCUCUCCUCUUUGUCCUAACUCCUUGUGGACAGGGACGGUGUCUGCUUUGUGUCCCCUGCCGCCGAUGCAGUGCUGGCCCAGAGUGGGUGCUGGGCAGUGCUGCCUGGCUGGGUGACCUGCCUCUGCUGGACAGAAGCCCGUUGAGGACAGCAGAGGUCGCUGGGCUCCGGAGCCGGCAGGUUCUGGGGCCAGCUCAUGGCAUCUCCCUCCUCUCCCCAGCAGGCCUGGCACAGCCUCCAGGGCGCCAUGAAUGCCAUCGUCGCGCUCUGUCACUUCUGCGAGCUCCACGGCCCCCGCACGCUCUUCUGCACAGAGGUCCUGCACGCCCCGCUUCCGCAAGGGGCGGGGAGCGGGGACGGCGCCGGCCGGGGCGAGCACGCUGAGGAGGAGGAGGGCGGCAUCCAGAUGAGCAGCCGCCUCCGUGCCCACAGCCCGGCGGAAGGGGCCAGCGCGGAGUCCAGCAGCCCGGGGCCGAAGAAGUCGGACAUGUGCGAGGGCUGCCGGUCACUUGCUGCAGGGCAUCCCGGGUACAUCAGCCAUGACAAGGAGACCUCGAUCAAGUACGUCAGUCACCAGCACCCCAACCACCCCCAGCUCUUCAGCAUCGUCCGCCAGGCCUGUGUGCGGAGCCUGAGCUGCGAGGUGUGCCCCGGCCGCGAGGGCCCCAUCUUUUUUGGGGACGAGCAGCACGGCUUUGUGUUCAGCCACACAUUCUUCAUCAAGGACAGCCUGGCCCGGGGCUUCCAGCGCUGGUACAGCAUCAUCGCCAUCAUGAUGGACCGCAUCUACCUCAUCAACUCCUGGCCCUUCCUGCUGGGCAAGAUCCGUGGGAUCAUCGACGAGCUCCAGGGCAAGGCGCUCAAGGUGUUUGAGGCAGAGCAGUUUGGGUGCCCACAGCGUGCCCAGAGGAUGAACACUGCUUUCACACCGUUCCUGCACCAAAGGAACGGCAACGCUGCCCGCUCGCUGACGUCCUUGACGAACGAUGACAGCUUGUGGGCGUGCCUGCACACCUCCUUCGCCUGGCUCCUGAAGGCGUGCGGCAGCCGGCUGACCGAGAAGCUCCUGGAAGGCGCGCCCACUGAGGACACCUUGGUCCAGAUGGAGCAGCUGGCGGACUUGGAAGAGGAAUCGGAAAGCUGGGGCAGCUCUGAGGCUGGAGAGGAGGAGAAAGAGGGGGCCGAGGGGCGGGAGCCGACCAAGUGCCCAGCGGAUUCGUCCUUGCUCUCAGACUGUGGAAACUGGCAGCCCCGAAAGCUCUCUGUCUUUAAAUCCCUUCGGCACAUGAGGCAGUGCACCCUGUUUUUCAGGUCCUGGGUGCCCCAUCUUUCCGCACACUGGCCUGGCACGUCCUCAUGGGGAACCAGGUGAUCUGGAAAAGUAGAGACGCAGACCUUGUCCAUUCAGCCUUUGAAGUUCUUCGGACCAUGCUGCCCGUGGGCUGUGUGCGCGUCAUCCCUUACAGCAGCCAGUACGAGGAGGCCUACCGCUGCAACUUCCUGGGGCUCGGCCCCCACGUGCAGAUCCCUCCCC